AAAGACAAGUUGAUCGAAUCAAGCUUAGACGAAUUAUAUAUAGACUGGAAACUACGAACAAAAUUACGUAAAAAUUGUGUCACCGACAUGAAAAACGAAAUAUUUGAUAGUGUGAGAAUUGGUGGGCAAAAUUGGUAACCAAAUUGACGCGAAAGUUUCGAAAUUUUUUGCUACACAAAUCUUUUGAAUUAAAAAAAUAAUAAAAUAUUGGAACGAUUACCUUGGGGAUGAGGUUGGAACCUUUCAGAGAUGGAAGUGUACUCUAAGAAGAGUGAUUUAUUUCAUAAGAUUAAAAUAUUUGCAAAAAGUUUCCGUGAAAAAUAUUUUCGAAUUAGCACAAUUUUGACACAAUUCAU